UUUGAUCCUGGCUCAGGAUGAACGCUAGCGGCAGGCUUAACACAUGCAAGUCGAGGGGUAACAGGGAAGCUUGCUUCCGCUGACGACCGGCGCACGGGUGCGUAACGCGUAUAGAACCUACCUUUUACAGAGGGAUAGCCUUUAGAAAUGAAGAUUAAUACCUCAUAGUACUACAGAUUCGCAUGAAUUUAUACUUAAAGAUUUAUCGGUAAAAGAUGGCUAUGCGUCCUAUUAGCUAGAUGGUAAGGUAACGGCUUACCAUGGCAACGAUAGGUAGGGGUCCUGAGAGGGAGAUCCCCCACACUGGUACUGAGACACGGACCAGACUCCUACGGGAAGCAGCAGUGAGGAAUAUUGGGCAAUGGAGGCAACUCUGACCCAGCCAUGCCGCGUGCAGGAAGACGGCCCUAUGGGUUGUAAACUGCUUUUAUACAGGAAGAAACCCUCGUACGAGUACGAGCUUGACGGUACUGUAAGAAUAAGGACCGGCUAACUCCGUGCCAGCAGCCGCGGUAAUA
rnacentral:rRNA from 1 species